AGUGAACGCUGGCGGUAGGCCUAACACAUGCAAGUCGAACGGCAGCACAGUAAGAGCUUGCUCUUACGGGUGGCGAGUGGCGGACGGGUGAGGAAUACAUCGGAAUCUACUUUUUCGUGGGGGAUAACGUAGGGAAACUUACGCUAAUACCGCAUACGACCUACGGGCGAAAGCAGGGGAUCUUCGGACCUUGCGCGAUUGAAUGAGCCGAUGUCGGAUUAGCUAGUUGGCGGGGUAAAGGCCCACCAAGGCGACGAUCCGUAGCUGGUCUGAGAGGAUGAUCAGCCACACUGGAACUGAGACACGGUCCAGACUCCUACGGGAGGCAGCAGUGGGGAAUAUUGGACAAUGGGCGCAAGCCUGAUCCAGCCAUACCGCGUGGGUGCAGAAGGCCUUCGGGUUGUAAAGCCCUUUUGUUGGGAAAGAAAAGCAGCAGGUUAAUACCCCGCUGUUCUGACGGUACCCAAAGAAUAAGCACCGGCUAACUUCGUG
rnacentral:rRNA from 1 species